UUUAGGUAGGAAGAGCACACCUGCGUUGUAGCAAAUAGAAUAUUUAUAUUGUUCGGUGCAAAACAAAGUCCCUCAGUCAGGCACUCGGGGUUAUUUACAUGGCGGGAGAUAAAGUUGAAAGCCUUUUCCGGCGUGCCAAAUGGGAUUCUCCCAGUGGCCUUCUGCGUAGCAAGAUAACUGGUACCGAGUGCUCCUGGCGGCGUCGGGCCUUCUCCCGCCAGCUCCCCUUCCCUGCACGCCAGCCCCAGGCCCAGACCGGGUUGAGCCAGGCGCUCAGGCUCUAGGAAUUCCCAGGCACCGCGGAAAUUUCAGCGGGGUUCCCAGCCUAGAAAUAUGCUCAGGAAGCGUCCUCAUUUGCCCUGCGUCGCUCGAGGACGCCGGCGCCCAGGAUAAGCCAGUGGGGUGAUAAUUAAUGGAAUACAAUAUUUAUGGUCCGAUGUAUUGACUCUGAGGCAAGCGCGCCGUGUAGAGUCCGUGGGGGUCUGACAAACAGGGGUUAGUGAACAAACAUAAUGACCGGAGUACUUAUGUCUAUCCGGUUUACUCACUUAAACCCAAGGUAUGUAACAUCACGAUAAAUAUUAAUAUCCACCUCGACAGACCCUCAGCACCGCUGUCCUCCUAAACUCUCCCUUCCUGAGCGCUGCCCUUAACAAAAAGGCCAGAGAGGAGGUUUUUAACAUAAAAUGCUGCAAAUAUGAAAAAUAGGUCACCAAUAAAAUUGGUCUCAGCAUGGAGCGUAAUUGCAACAAAGUGCCGCCGAGUAAAAUCGAGGAGUGAGCUGGCUGAGGCGGCACAGUCGCGAACCAUCUGGUGUGUAUUAAGAGUGGUGCUGUAAAUAUUGCUGAGAGCUAAUGCAUUAUCGGCUUCUAUAAGUGCACAGGGCCUCUAAGCUUUCCAUAUGUUAGAAUAUGUAGAUCGGGUGAGAGCAAGGAAAGGUGUCUUAUCAAUCACAGGCUUCUAAAGCAUUGUUUUGCCCACUCUUUGUGGAUUUUUGGCCCCCCAAAGUGUAGGAUAUACAUUCUCAUUCUCUCCCCCCACCACCCUUUUUCCUCUUCUGUCAAUUCCUCUUUCUCUUUUUCUCUUGCUCUUUCUCCCAGCUCCUUCCUUCCAUACCCUCCUCCUCUCUCCCCUCUCUCCAAGGGGAUAGGGCAGGCAUUGCUGACGUCACUUCACAUCAGUAAAAGAGAGUAACUGUUUCAGAGAGGAAGAAAAAAAUCAUCUGUUUUUCAUCAGUACUAAAGUUUUGCCUCUUUAAUAGAAAUGGGCUGCCCAGGCUGAGUACUCCUUGUGUUUUGAAGCUUAUAAUCACUACUACCCCCUUUUGGAGGGUGGCCCAAGAGGUGGGGAGGUGUUCUUCAUCCUGUGCGCUGAUUCAUUUUAUAUGUGGUUCUAAUGCCAGAAUCAGCUCAAAUAGAUGAAACUAAUAAGGUGCAAAGAUAAUGUCUUCUAGAGAUUUCACAUCUACACCUCCUAGGCAACUUUUGUCAAGGAGAGUGGAGGGCUCCUGGUUCCAUGACACUUCUGCUUUGAGUCCUGGAACUUCUUCCUUUCUCUGGAGCCUCCCUCCAUAAUUCCACCCCCCACAUACCUAACCGCCACACACAGCACAGCUAAUAAAUUUCCUGCUGUCACAUUACUUUUCUGGGGAAAACAGAGUCCUCCUUUUCCUGAUGAUACCCCACAUCUAAGAGUUUACUAUAAUUACCCCCCAUCUCCUCUGAACCCCUCUCCACAUAUUCCUCAGCUACAAGUUUUUAGUCAAAUCCAGUGCUAGGAAGUUUAUUUACGUUGUCCCACAGAGAUCAUUUUCUCUCCUUCAAAAUUGGCCUGGUCUGUUAUUCUUCCUACUUUCCUUCUCCUUCCUUUUCUCCCCACCUCUACCUCCUGUGCACAUAUAGUACAAACCUCCAGCACUUCUAAUGUGGAUAAACCUGCUGGUCAUGACAACCCAAGUUCAAUCAGCAAAUAAAUAAAACUCUUACUUUUCUUUUUUGGCUGCCGGCUGCACUCCCCCUCUGGCCGUUGCCUCCUUUAAUUAUAGGAGCUAUAUUUCUUCCCUGGGAGACAUUCGAGGGGAUUUUUAGUUGGAAACUCGUUUCUGCUGAGUUAUUUUGGAGCCAGGACCAGUGAGUGAGUGGCCCGUACCCAGAGGCUUUGAGUGAAGUGCAGAUUGAGACAUAUCGAGUUCCCUUUAAAAGGAUCAUUUCAUGUGGGAGGCUGGACACAAAGUUUGCACUCGUGACUGGCAUUCCAGUGAGAGACAUGCAUAUUUUAAAACAACAAAGCAAGCUGGAAAGAAAGCUUAGGGGAGGGGGAAAAACUUGGAAAGAAGUUACUAAGUGACAAACAUCUGUCAACAUGGGAUAAUUUGUACACUCCAAUGUAAAACUAUCUGCCUAGUUUGAUGGAGUUCAAGGAACAGGAUCUGGGAGAGCAAAGUGGAUACAUAUUUAUCCCCGUUGAGAUAUGGCUAAAAGACACUUCUCCCCCAAAUAGGUGCACCGAAUCUCCAACAACCACAUGGAAGUUCAGGCUCCAGCUUCCACCGAGAAAUCUUUUUCUCCUCCAGAUCUGAAGACAAAAGGAGAGGAGGCCUGGUGCUUGGUUAGAGGAGGCCUUCGCAGACCAGGAGAUGGAUAGACACCAUUAUCCAGCCAUCACUGAGAUCCCCAUCAGGGGUUCCCUUGUCAGCCGGAUCCAACUGCCUAAAGCCACUCUAUUCACAUGAUCCGAAUUUCUCAAAAUUGGGGUAGAAGAGAAGGCCAGGGGUGGGGAAUGGAGUGUGCAACCUUGCACCGUGUUAAUUGUUUUCUUUCCUCUCAAUUACAUUCAUAAACCUAUUUUCUGCAUUGCAUGUUAUUUCUUUGUGCUUCAAAAUUGAAAUCACGUGCAGCUUUCUCCCUUCCGCACACACAAUAAAUGCGCUGCCCCCUCCCCCAAACCCAUCACGCAACUGUUUACAUCUUGGUUACUCACUCUGCACUUCGGCCCCCGGAGAAGAAAUUGGCCCCGUGGGACUUGGUGAGGCUUUGUGAAAGCAUCUCUCAAAUCCGUAUCUCGGGCCCCCGUUCUGGGAGAAAGGCUCCUGGAUUCGCCUCCCGGGCCUCCCCACCACCCCCUCCUCGUACAGGUGGUUGAGGCUUACACAGGGAGAGCUAGUAGAGAGGACAUCCAGGGAGAAAGGCAGCUCCGCAGUGUCCGGCCAGGACUACUCACAACCCACCCCACACCCUGGCUCGCCUGCCAGCCGGGGUCAGCUGUGACCACGGGCGUG
rnacentral:lncRNA from 1 species